GCUGGCCUCCAGCACCCGCAGCAGGAACUGCUCCAGCUGCUGCUCCGAGAGGCAGGCGUGCUCCUCCAGGAAGCGCUGCUUCAGCUUGCCCAGCUCCUGGCGCAGCAGGUCCUCGUAGGGCAGCUCCACCGAGGAGAACACCACGGCGCCGAACACCAGGUACAGCAGGUGCCGGGUGAACCGGAAGAAGGUAACGACACAAACACAGCGGUGUGAAGCAUGAGGCUGAAUUUCGGUUUGGGGAUGUGAUGCAUUCAAGGAGGAAUCCUGAUGGCAGGCAUUAAUGUCCUCCCUCAGGUCUUCUGUGACAUAACUUCAAAAUGAGGCCUGUUUGGGAGGACAUUUAGAACCAGGUGGCCUCCAGAAAUCCCAUCCAAGCUAAAUGAGUCUUUGCUUCUGUGCUGGGCUCCUGGAGAUACUUACUUUCUAAUGGUAUGAAGCGCCUGGCUAGUGCUCAGGGCAGCAUCCACAAUGAAUUCAAAUGCACUGUCCAGCCAGCCCUCUGUGCGGCCCGAAUCAGUGAUCUUCUCCAAUUCCACUUCAAACACUUCUUUCUUCAUCCAUCUCAACUCUGGCCAGCAAUCAUGCAGUUAACCUGCAAAGAAGCUCCACCACCACAUGAAAAAGAGCAGUGAAAAUUGUAGGCUCCCAAAGUGGCCCUUAAGGUGACUAAAGGCAGCUUCCUUGGGUAAAAGAGAGAGAGGAGAUUCCCCAGCUGCAUCCUGCAGGGCUCUGCCAUUUCCCUUUCACGUCUCAGCUGAUGACAACUUGUACAAUCACAGAAACAAAGUAGUGGCUUGUAAAUUAGAAACUUAAUGAGACUGAGCUAGUGAGUUCGGACAGAGUAAAUCAUAUCCCACAACCUAUGUUAAGCUGUGAGGUACACUGUAGGGACUACCAUGGGAAAAGAAUGGAAAAACAAAAGGCACAAAACAAUUUUUCAUGCUAGAAACUUAAAACAAUGUGUUAACAUUUUCUUUUAUACAACAGCUACAUUAGGCUGCAGGAUGGAUCUGGCCUGGCAGAACAGCUCAUCCGGUCCCUGGCCCAUUCCCUGCGGCCAGCUACAGCUGAGUUGUUCCAGGGGCUUAACACCUCUCCAUUCCCCUUGUUUCACGAUCAAAAUGCAAAUGUGUUCAUGCAUGCAAAAAGCAGCUGCUUAAAUGCUUGGUCAAAUAGUGGGCUUGGGGGAUGUGGUAGGUACAUAUAGACAGGCUGAGCAAGCAGACUCUCUCAGUGCUGUGCCAAGAGGAUGUGUGUGUUCUGGCCUACAAAUGCACAUCUGUUAUGUGUGCAUGUGCAUCUUUUGCAUCCAUGUUUGAUCACACAAAUAGGGAGGGGACACCCUGUCCACUUGGGUGUUUUGGUAGGAAGACACUUUUCCCCCAUGGCUGAACCCCUGAACUGUUGCGAGGUAAAUGGUUCCAAAGUGUUCACACGUAUAAAUUGUAGCACUGAACAGAGGUGCAGCACAGUGAAAUUAGGGGAGGGACUUGAAACGAGCAGCUGAAGAAAAUCCAUGCUGUAUGUCAUGAAGUUAAUUGACAGAAGGACAGACAUAGGCAGAGAUGUUACAUCCUGUCAGCACCUUUCAUCAGCAUCAAUGUACUUUUAAAAUGUUUUUUCUGAUAUGAACCACUGAUGUGUAGGAAAAAGACAAUCUAAAUCAAUAGCAAUGACAAUUAAUAAUGGAUACUGUCUGAAAAAAAAAAAAAAAAAGCUAAUCCAGUAAUGCAGACAUGCUUUUGAAGGGAGUAUUCCAAACAAAUGUUUCAUUGCAUUACACUAAGGCAGCAUGCAUUUAAACAUUGUUACAGAAAAAGAGAUCAACGAACCUCAUUGACCAAUUUGGUAUGCUUGGUUAAUUCCAUCCAAUUACUUAAUCACUUGUUCCCUCAAAUUCCAAAUGACUGAGUACCUCCAUCUAUAAUAUAAAAGCCAUUUAAAACAAUAUGUGUGAUAUAUGGGGCUCCAUUUUAAUCAAAUGUACUCGGUUUGCCAGAUAAAAUAGGUUUCAUAAUACUGUUUAAUUUAUGACAACAUCUGGUAUGUACAGUUGCAUUCAUGAUAGGGAAUGGGCAUAUAUUUGCUGUAAAAUAAUAUUUUCCCAACCUUCAAGCCAAAUAUUUAUUUAAAGGUUAGAAAAUGUUUGCCUCAGAACACACCUCUCUUCAGUGGUGAUAGGAAACUGUAGCUGGGUAGCUGAACAGUUUUAUUUGUUCAUAUUUAUAUGGCCGCCUUCAGUUUUCCGUUUUUAUGAAUCACUCAUUCUCUAUUUUUAGAAGUCUCUCACACUUGGAGGUUUGCUGGGCUAGAGAGAAAAGGAGGACUCUCUGCUGAACAGAACUUGCACUGCUCUUAUAACUCAAUUUUUCCCUCUCUGGUUUUUGGAGGCAUGGGCCAGGGAGAACAAUGGCAGAGCAGCGCAGCUGCUUUGUGUCACCAAAGCAUUCACAUUCUUGAUUCCAAAGCAAAUGUCUGGACAGUGAAUUUUACCCAGCAUUGUUUCAUUCUACUGUGAUCAUCCCUCUUAAUAAAACAUGAAUCCAGUUAAUAAAGCAUACUACAUCAUGUCAUCACUCAUCCACUAGCUACCCUCAGUGAUAACUGGAGAGGUCCAGCUGUUAGCAGAGUAAAGAAACCCACUAUUGCUAGGUACUGGUGCUCUCUAUCGCACCCAGCUCCCCUCUGAACUGCAAAAAACGCAAGUACAAGCUGCCUAUCUACAAGUGUAGAAGAGAAGACGGACACUAAUUCAUCCAUGGAGCUGAGGGAGAAACCAUGUUUGUAUCCUGGGGUUCUUGAAAAGCAUAGAGAAAGCGACUAGUCUCUCUAACUCUGCUGCCUGGGGAGACAGGACAACUCCCUUGCCAAAUCACUGGGCUAGCAGCUUCUUUAGUGUAGUCCAGAGGCUGAGAAAAUCCUGUCUCAUACAAAAGAAAUGUAAGGCAUUUCUCAGAGCUCUGUGAAUCACUGACAUUUUCUGUUAGGAGAUGUGAAAUUGAAAUAAAGAGGUUUUGUGUUGUGUUUGUGGCA